rnacentral:rRNA from 1 species
GACGAACGCUGGCGGCGUGCUUAACACAUGCAAGUCGAGCGGAAAGGCCCUUCGGGGUACUCGAGCGGCGAACGGGUGAGUAACACGUGAGUAACCUGCCCCAGACUUUGGGAUAACCCUCGGAAACGGGGGCUAAUACCGGAUACGACACAGCUUCGCAUGGGGUCUGUGUGGAAAGUUUUUCGGUUUGGGAUGGGCUCGCGGCCUAUCAGCUUGUUGGUGGGGUGAUGGCCUACCAAGGCGACGACGGGUAGCCGGCCUGAGAGGGCGACCGGCCACACUGGGACGGAGACACGGCACAGACUAGUACGGGAGGCAGCAGUGGGGAAGAGUGCAAAAUGGGCGGAAGCCUGAUGAAGAGAAGCCGCGUGAGGGAUGACGGCCUUCGGGUUGUAAACCUCUGUCAGCAGGGACGAAGCGUAAGUGACGGUACCUGCAGAAGAAGCGCCGGCCAACUACGUG